CGGCUAACUUCGUGCCAGCAGCCGCGGUAAUACGAAGGGUGCAAGCGUUACUCGGAAUUACUGGGCGUAAAGCGUGCGUAGGUGGUGGUUUAAGUCUGUUGUGAAAGCCCUGGGCUCAACCUGGGAAUUGCAGUGGAUACUGGGUCACUAGAGUGUGGUAGAGGGUAGCGGAAUUCCCGGUGUAGCAGUGAAAUGCGUAGAGAUCGGGAGGAACAUCCGUGGCGAAGGCGGCUACCUGGACCAACACUGACACUGAAGCACGAAAGCGUGGGGAGCAAACAGGAUUAGAUACCCUGGUAGUCCACGCCCUAAACGAUGCGAACUGGAUGUUGGGUGCAAUUUGGCACGCAGUAUCGAAGCUAACGCGUUAAGUUCGCCGCCUGGGGAGUACGGUCGCAAGACUGAAACUCAAAGGAAUUGACGGGGGCCCGCACAAGCGGUGGAGUAUGUGGUUUAAUUCGAUGCAACGCGAAGAACCUUACCUGGUCUUGACAUCCACGGAACUUUCCAGAGAUGGAUUGGUGCCUUCGGGAACCGUGAGACAGGUGCUGCAUGGCUGUCGUCA
rnacentral:rRNA from 1 species